UACGUAGGAGGCAAGCGUUGUCCGGAGUUACUGGGCGUAAAGCGUGUGUAGGCGGUUGGCUGCGUCCGGUGUGAAAUCUCCCGGCUUACCUGGGAGGGGGCAUCGGAUACGAGCGGACUUGAGGGCAUCAGAGGCCAGUAGAACUCCCGGUGGACCAGUGAAAUGGGUAGAGAUCGGGAAGAAUACCAGUGGUGCAGACGGCUGGCUGGGGGUGUACCUGACGCUGGAGACAACGAAAGCAUGGGGGAGCAAACAGG
rnacentral:rRNA from 1 species